UGGUUCUGGCAUCGAUGAAGAACGCAGCGAAAUGCGAUAAGUAAUGUGAAUUGCAGAAUUCAGCGAAUCAUCGAAUCUUUGAACGCACAUUGCGCCUGCUAGCAUUCUAGCAGGCAUGCCUGUCCGAGCGUCAUUUCAACCCUCAAGCCCUGCUGUGGCUUGGUAUUGGGGCGCCUGUAGCUUCUAUGCUUGCAAGGCCCUGAAAGUAAGUGGCGGGCCCACCAGGUCUCUAAGCGCAGUAAAUUUUCUCGCUUCUAGAAGCUUUAGUGGGUUUUUCUAGCCAUUAAACUCCAAUUUAUGAACCAGUUUGACCUCGGAUCAGGUAGGACUACCCGCUGA
rnacentral:misc_RNA from 1 species